UGAGAACAAGGCUGGAGAAGAGGAUGCUGUCGUCACAAUCGUGGUUGAGGCCAAGGAUGAGCUGAAGAAGCCUCUGAAGCGCAAGGGAGAUCAGGAGGAGGAAGCCAAAGACGAGAAGAAGAUCAAGACCACUGCUGCUGCUGAUGCGGAAAAUGCAGCUGAAGAGGACGCUGAGAUGGUUGAAAACAAGGAAGAAGAAGGCGCCCAGAAGGUUCAGAAGAAGCGCAAGGGGCGUGCCGAGACAGCCACUGCUGCAGCUGGCGGCGGUAAGAGGAAGAGGGCCGGCCCUGCUGCAGCCGAAGAGAAGGCCGCCGCAGCUGGUGGCGGUAAGAGGAAGAAGGCAAGCCCUGCUGCUGCAGCUGAGGAGACCCCUGCUGCUGCGAGCACCCCUCGCCGUGCGACCAGGAGCGGCGGCGUGGUGGUGGCUGGUGGGAGCCCUGCUUCCAGGACCAGGAGCAACACCAAGGCCGACAACUGAAGGCGGCGGUGGAGGAGGAGCGGCGCCGAGGCUGAUGCCCACCAUUGAAGAAGAAGCUCCGUUUUUUGGCUGGUCGUGUAUUAUUAUAUAUAUAGUUUACAUUUGCAAGACUGCUUUAUCCACUUGUCUCUUGUCUGGAGACUGGAAUUGGAACUUGGUUGCUGAUGCUGCCGCUGGCAGCCGUUUUGGGUCGGAACCUUGUAGUUAAGUUGAUACCGUACCGUACCCCCUCCUGCUAUAUGGAUCCUUGAUAUUAUCUAUCAGGUAAUGGUUAUGAUGAUUAUGCUUGAACUAUUUACCGGUGUGAUUGUUAGUUUAUAUCUGCUGCAUCUGGUUGGCAGUGCUUUUGC
rnacentral:lncRNA from 1 species